rnacentral:lncRNA from 1 species
GCUUGGCCCUGGCUGUCCUGGAGAUUGUCCUCAUCUGAGGAGGAGCUGCACUUACCAGGGUUUGGAAACUCGGAGGCCAACAUGCUCUUGACACCGGGAUCUACGGUUGGCUGAUUCCACAGAGGCAGAGAAUCCAAUAGAGAGUUCCCAUGAUGGGACAUGAACAUCUUGGGUCUUGGGUCUGCGGCAGGUUCUGGAACCAUACCCCUGAGAAAGUGAACUGCUGUGUCUUGAAGUGGAGCGAGCUGUGGUAGGUGGAUGUGAUGGAAACCACAAAGGCGGUGGAUGAGUCAUUCACAUUGGAGGAAAAAUUCAUUCCCGGGGAAGGCAGCCGGUGACCAAGAAUCAGACUAGGAAGUCCCCAGAUGAGAAUCUCCAGCUGGAGGGAAUUACAACUGAGAAACAAUGGAGAACUUCCCUCAGACGCCCUCAGACAAGUACAACCAGUGCUGCGCAGGAGCUGGAUCAGCCUCCAAGGAUUUCCAGGCACAGAGAAGGCCAGGUCAGAGCAGCAACUCAGAGGGGACAAGCUGGUGCUGGUGGGACCUGACCGAUGGACUUUGCAGGGAGAAGUCAUCUGAACCAGUCAUCAGAAACCCCAUUCUUCCGGCCAAUUUCCUGAGAACAGGGGGAGCAAACACACCACAUCUGGGGGCCCUCCCAUCUGUCUCAGAACCGUCUCCCCUAAGCUGAACAGGCUCCAAAUGUCAUCUCUGUUGCAGUCUUAUCUUCCUCUCCGUCCACUAUAUAGCAUGACUCUUUUCUAUUUCAGAUAAUUAAUUAUCAGAACUUGCCAGAAAUAGCUUCAAAUCUCACAGCAGUUACCCCUACCCAUUAGCGAGCAAGUGGUUGCAGUCUCUCUCUCUCUCUGGGAUUAUUUGUGCUAAGAGGUCAAAGAUGGCAUGAGAAAUGAAAAGCCAUUUGCUUUAGCACCAUUAG